rnacentral:rRNA from 1 species
UACAGAGGUCCCAAGCGUUGUUCGGAUUCACUGGGCGUAAAGGGUGCGUAGGCGGUCGGGUAAGUCUGAUGUGAAAUCUCGCAGCUUAACUGCGAAACUGCAUUGGAAACUAUCUGACUAGAGGAAUGGAGGGGAGACUGGAAUACUUGGUGUAGCAGUGAAAUUCGUAGAUAUCAAGUGGAACGCCAGUGGCGAAGGCGAGUCUCUGGGCAUUUACUGACGCUGAGGCACGAAAGCCAGGGGAGCAAACGUG